rnacentral:rRNA from 1 species
CAGGCAGGCGGUUGAGCAAGUCGGACGUGAAAGCUCCUGGUUUAACCGGGAGAGGCCGUUCGAGACUGGUCAACUGGAGGGCAGUAGAGGGGCGUGGAAUUCCGGGUGGAGUGGUGAAAUGCGUAGAGAUCCGGAGGAACACCAGAAGCGAAGGCGGCGCCCUGGGCUGACCCUGACGCUGAGCUGCGAAAGCGUGGGUAGCGAACG